GGGUGCUUGAGGCUAUUUGUCUCAGGCAUUAGCCGAAAGGCAGAUAGAGAAAAGCCCCAGAUAACCUUCAACGUCUUGCAGGACGUUAAACAUUAAUCUGAGGCCAAAUCUAAUGCUAGACCCAUUAAGGUUAGCCUCUUACCGACCUUCGGGUCAAGGAGUAGCAGGCUAUG
rfam:Kluyvera ascorbata ATCC 33433 GKAS.assembly.015, whole genome shotgun sequence.